rnacentral:lncRNA from 1 species
AUAGGUUGUAACUGGGAGUAAAAGAUGUGUCUAAACUGAUCGUCUGGUGCGAAAAUCGACGACCAAGAUCCAGUUAUGUGUAUUGCAGGACAACACCUUUCAUUAGAUACACUUUGAUGCUAUUUCUAGCAUGAUUUUCUAUUUCAGACUUAAAACUAAAUUUCUGAACAACUAAAAUCGCUCUUGUUCCUUAUUUUUUUAGGGCGGUUCCUCUCAUUUUACUGGUUCGUCCUCUCCUUCAUGAUUGAUGUACUGGUUCUGGCCGCUCCUUCGUGAUAGACUCGGUUAACUCUUUGUUAGCCUUGUGGGUCGUAAUUCUUUCUCUCCAGACGCAUAUACUGCCUAAUGUAUUGCUCAUGCUCAUUCUGUACCGAGAUAGUCCUAAUAUCCAUAGGGUUGUAGAUUGAUUUCCCCUGAAAAAGCUAUGCUUCUUUCCUUGGAUGAUAAGCAUGUUCGGCAGCUAUGUGGAAUUCUUAAGAUAAACGGUCUUUAGUAUCUUUUGGUGCAUCUGCGUGCACGUAACAGUCUGUUAGUUUCUCUUUAUAUAAUGAAAAAAAUAUGCUACUGUUGCUUGUUUAUUAUUAUCUAUCAUUUGUAGAUUUAUUUUUAGGCCACCGGUGCUUGUAUGUAUAAUUUCUAGUCUCUUGAAUGAAUAAUUUUUCUUUAUGUGUCAUGCGUCUUGUGUUACUACAUACAUCUGUCGUGAAGUACAUGGUUCCGGAACUAUGGUAACCCGUAGUUUGCUCUACCCGUGAUAGUAGGAUGAUGGAAGCAUCACUACUGAAUGUAGUUCAUGUUUCUUCAUAUAAUCAUCAUUUACUAGAGUUUCUCUUCUUCUUGCUACUGCUUGGUUUUUGACGCCACUAGCUUGUACUAAAACGUAAACACAUCAUAUUGUUUUCAUCAGACUAGGGUACCUUGAGCAUGCAAAGUAAACACAUGCUACUCCACUUGUCUAUUUGUACAUAAACUUUUUUUAAAAUAAACCGAGCUAAUAAACCAAACGGUGCGAACACAUUCAGUUCUGAAAUUUGUCUACUCCACUUAUUUGAUUGUACUAAAACCUUUGUUUGCAUGUUUCUAAAAUACAGAGAAGAACACCCUGUGUUCUGGUAAAAUAUUUGUUUGCUAUGAUAUGAAAUCCCAUGAUGUGUGUGUUGUUUCAGUUUCUGUAGCUACAACAAAGUCCCAGUUUACUCUGUACUUGCUUUUGAUGAUUGCUGGCUAAAUUUACAGUUGAAAUAAUAGUAGCCAAGGAGUAGAUACAAGACGUAUUUACCGUAUUUUGCAUGGAAUGUUAAAAAUCAGUUUUGUUGCGGUUUCUUGUUCUGUGAGUCAAAUUGCAUAAGAUGGGAGUAUCACAACAUGCAUAUACUGAAGAUGGGAGUAUCACAACCUGAAUGUGCAGCUUAUGUAGUUUCUGUAUUUUUGUUAAAGCAUGGAGUAGCUUCUAUAGUUUCUGUAUUUUUGUUAAAGCAUGGAGUAGCUUCUAUAGCUUCCUCACAAGUUAAUGCUUCGCUCGUCCGGGUGUGUGAUAAAGCCAUUUGUCUUGUGGAAUCAGAUUACAUUUCUGUUUGUUAUGGUAAUAUAAAAAUAUUCGUGCUAUCAAAAUUUUCACAGUGCGUGUCUUUCAUUUCUUUAAUUUGAUUGUUUCCCUUGUAUUCAAUAUGCUUCUAGUGGCUGAUCCUUCCAUUUUUGUUGUGGCAUCUUUAUUUUCACAGGUGUUGUGUGUUCUGGAAGAUGGAAGAGGAAGAAAUUGUUGAACUAAAUUUUCUGUAUUCUGUUUUGUUGUACGUAUCAUUUGAUAGUUUUGUAUAGGAACAAGUGAUACUAUUUUGUAGGGCUUUAUGGCCUGUGAUGUAAACAUAUUUAGUGCUGAAAUAUGAAAUUAUUUGCAAAAUUU